rnacentral:tRNA from 1 species
GGAGAGGUGUCCGAGUGGUCGAAGGAGCACGACUGGAAAUCGUGUGCACACCCAAAAGGUGUGCCGUGGGUUCGAAUCCCACCCUCUCCG